rnacentral:tRNA from 1 species
CAGAAGAUAGUUUAAUGUUUGGAAAAUUCUAGCUUUGGGAGUUGGAGAUGUAUUGUUGUAGCUCUUUUGU